GGAAUGGGGUCUUACAAGCAGUCACACUUCAACUGUGAAACUCCCUUGUCCUUAUGGUGUAUUGACACUAUUGAAACUUUUCAAAAGCAGUCUAAUGUUAGAAGAGCUUUUAGGUAAACUGUUAUUAUUCUUCUUAUCAUUAUUAUAUAUUUUAUUAAUUAUAUUUUUAUUAUGAUGUUGAUUUGGGUGACAAUUAUUUGAUAAAUAUUAUGUAUUAAUUUUUUAAACAUAUUAACCAUCCCUAUGCUUAAAUAAAUAAAAUUGUUCUUUUAAACUUGUGCAUUGUUUGACUUUUAAAAUUUUUGUAUCAGGUGUAAAAUGACUUUUUAAAUAAAGUUGUUUUUAAUGUGAGCAGCUCCUAUUGGCUCGUUUAAAAACAGGGAGGAGCAGAUUGCACUGCCUAGCGUCUAGUCUUCGCGGUCUUUCGUCAGUUGCGCCUUUUCUCUCCCUGGUGUUUGAGAACGUAGAGGACAAAAGGAUACCAAAGAAUCGAAAACUAUGACAAAGAUUCUUCAAGAUCACAAGCACCAUCUUUAGCAUGUUGCCAUGGUAGCAGAUACAGGGGGAACAAGUGUAGACGAUGCCACAAGAAGGAUGAUGAAAUUCCUCAUAUCACCUGAGCUGGCUGUGGAGUACAGUAUGCUUGGCCGACAUGGGGAAAAAAAAGUUCAGAGAUUUGCGUCUUUUUAAUAUUGUGUAUGAGGCACUGAAGAAGAAUUAUUUAACAUCAGAAGUCAACUUGCAAGAAGCAGAGAAGGCUCUGUCCAAGUGGUUCACUGGAGCUAAAGACAGAGGAGGACCGAGGGCUGCAAGGGUACAAAAUAGACUUACGGCUCUGUAAAAAAACAAAAAAAGAAACCCUGCUGAUUCAAGAUAAGCUUUUGAGUUUUCCAUCUGACUUUUUCUCACUGUUGCAACAGUUCUGAAUAUCUAAGGAAUUUUGAUGUAGUUUGACAUUUCUAGUUUUUUAAAAGUUUACGCACUUUGGAAUACAGUUACUUAAAAUCACAGUUGUUGGACAAAAUAAAUGUGAAAACUUUUGUUUUGUGUACCCUUGUGAUUUUUGAAAUGGUUUUAUUAACAAACUAGUUUUUGUUUGCGGUCAGCUUUAAUAUAUUUGGUGUCUUUGUGUCACAGAACCCAUAUUAGCCGUCUGAAAAAUUGAUUUUGUGACUGUUUUACUACAUGGGGCCCAUUCAGUGCCAGAAAUUAGCCAAUUCAAACUAGAAGUAAGAUGCAACUACAGAACCCACUGAUAAUGCCAUUCAAACUUUUUAGCUCAUGUUUUCCUCAUGUUGUACCCACUAAGAACUUGAAAAAUGGGGCCCGGGUGGGUUUCUGUGUACUUUGCCCAUUUGGGGCACAUUUAGCUCCCAGAUUUUACCAAUAUAACACCGAGAUGGGCAUUUAAUAUGGGGCCAUUAUGGAACCUGCGGACAAUCCCACUUAAAACCCACUUUUUAGCCUUUGUGGUACCCACAUGGUACCCACAAAAACUUGAAAGAUGGGGCCCAGGUGGGUUUCUGUGUACUUUGCCCAUUUGGGGCACAUUUAGUUCCCGGAUUUUACCAAUAUAACACCGAGAUGGGCUUAUAAAAUGGGGCCAUUAUGGAACCCGCGGACAAUCCCACUUAAAACCCACUUUUUAGCCUUUGUGGUACCCACAUGGUACCCACAAAAACUUGAAAGAUGGGGCCCGGGUGGGUUUCUGUGUACUUUGCCCAGUUGGGGCACAUUUAGUUCCCAGAUUUUACCAAUAUAACACCGAGAUGGGCUUAUAAAAUGGGGCCAUUAUGGAACCCGCGGACAAUCCCACUUAAAACCCAUUUUUUAGCCUUUGUGGUACCCACAUGGUACCCACAAAAACUUGAAAGAUGGGGCCCGGGUGGGUUUCUGUGUAAUUUGCCCAGUUGGGGCACAUUUAGUUCCCAGAUUUUACCAAUAUAACACCGAGAUGGGCAUUUAAUAUGGGGCCAUUACGGAACCCGCGGACAAUCCUAUAUGGGGCCCAUUUUUCAGCCCAUUUCCAAACCAUAUGGGCCCCACAUAUAAAUGUUGG